AUUGAACGCUGGCGGCAUGCUUUACACAUGCAAGUCGAGCGGUAACAGGGUGCUUGCACCGCUGACGAGUGGCGAACGGGUGAGUAAUGCGUCGGAACGUGCCGAGUAGUGGGGGAUAACGCAGCGAAAGUUGUGGUAAUACGGCAUACGUACUGAGGUAGAAAGUGGGGGACCUUCGGGCCUCACGCUAUUCGAGCGGCCGACGUCUGAUUAGCUAGUAGGUGAGGUAAAGGCUCACCUAGGCGACGAUCAGUAGCGGGUCUGAGAGGAUGAUCCGCCACACUGGGACUGAGACACGGCCCAGACUCCUACGGGAGGCAGCAGUGGGGAAUUUUGGACAAUGGGCGAAAGCCUGAUCCAGCCAUGCCGCGUGUCUGAAGAAGGCCUUCGGGUUGUAAAGGACUUUUGUCAGGGAGGAAAUCCCUAGUGCUAAUAACACUGGGGGAUGACAGUACCUGAAGAAUAAGCACCGGCUAACUACGUGCCAGCCGCCGCCGUAA
rnacentral:rRNA from 1 species